rnacentral:lncRNA from 1 species
ACAACAACACGGCUGAAGGACGGCUUGGUGGAGGCAGACUCCGUUUCCUAAGGGCUUAUCCCAAGUUAGAGUUCAGAGGGAAGGGAAUAGAACGCGACUUGUCCACCAAACAAAAUAUGCGUGUUACUACAGUUGUAUGUAGUGGUCAGGCAAAAAGAAAAUCAGAACUUCCAAAGCUGGAGUGUCAGGUGGUUGUGAACUACUCAACCUGGUUCCUGGGAACCAAACUCAGGUCCUCCGCCAAAGGAGCACAUGCACUUAGCCACUGAGUCAUCUCUGAAGUCCCAGAAACCUCUGAAUGCCCAGGUGACAAGACCAAGGCUGAGAGACUAGGAAAGGGCUAAGAAUCUGAGUCACUGGCUGAGCAAACUACAGGUCAAUGGUGGACCUUCUCAAAAGCAAUACAUAAAUGAUCGAGGAACAAAAGCAUCACAUCAUCAACUUUUGCCCUCCACAACUGCCUACAGAGAGAAACUCUUCUGGACAAAAAGAUGUCCUCUGCAGAUGGCACCAGUCAAAAGAACCCAGUAAACACCAAACCUUGGUCUGCAGGACAAAACACAACCCUUCCUGAGGGUCAGUUCCUUGGAUGUGACUGGAGUUGCUCCAGAUAUUACAAUUAAAAUAAGGGCAUUCAUUACAUUAUAUUCCCUGUGAAUGUUCAUUAAAGUAAAAGAGGUAGAGGAGGUGAAGGAGGAGGAAGAAGGGGAGGAGGAGGAAGAAGAAGAAGAGGAAGAGGAGAAAGAGAAAGCUGCUGCUGCUGCUGUUGAUGACUACCUGGGCUCUGCGCAGCUUCCCUGGCCACACCCCUUCCCACACACCUGCAGGAAGACCACAGCCGCCACAGAGAAUGGGUCGGUACCAAGGUCAGUUCAUAAUAAAGAGCUUUCCAGAAGCCCCCAUCCCCACCCCAAGCCAACAGGAAUUGGCAAUGAACUUUAAGAAAAGGCUACGCGAGCCAGAAAACAACUUAGGGCUGUUUAAUUUUCCUGACAUGAACGCUGGCCACCCAAGGGGAUAAAGGAAACACCUGUCUCCCGUGGGCAGCGGUUCUGCAGGGCGUGUGGAUAUCCAGAAAGCUGCUGGGAGACUUCUUUCACCCGCCAAGUUAGAGACAAACGAACCUGUGGAAAGAGUGGUUUCGCAGAAGACCAUGGACCCCAGCCUGGGUCUCAGCUCUGCCUCUGACUAGGAAGGGGCCACUAGAAUCAGCAACCCCGCCUCUAAGAAGAACAUAAGCUUUUUGCACAGUAUUCUCUCAGGAGCUUUUAUUGAGACUCAUAAAGGAAGCAACAACACUUGAGAGUGUUGCAAAGUGGAAAAAACAAAACAGAAACAAAAACAACAACAAAAAACACGUGAACAUGACGUUGGGGGAAAGGAUGAAACCAGCCAUCGCAAGCCAGGAGAAUCCUUGGGAAGUGAGGCUCAGCGGCUGAGCAGCCUGAGCACAGAGGUUCAGGGUCAGGGUAGGGUGCCUAGCGAAUUCCCGUAACGCAGGACACUGCCCAAGCCAGCUUCAUAAAAAGUCACUCCGUUGAUUUCAGGCUCAAUGGGAACAUCUCUUGGCUGUUUGCUGAAUUUAGACACUUUAAAAAGUUUUCUUUGACUGAACAAGGGGUUCCUGAGACCAGCUUCCUGAGGGUAUCUUGGUAAACAAGCCUCCCACCACGAAUUUCCUUGCUGUUAUUGUAACUGGUUUUAACUGCA